AACGCACAUUGCACUCUCUGGUAUUCCGGAGAGUAUGCUUGUUUGAGUAUCUGUAAACAUCUCAAAUCUCUUUGCGCUUGCGCAUAAGAGGGUUGGAUUUGAGCGAUCCCGACUCUUUUGAAAGAAAGAGGAGGGUCGCUUGAAAUGCAGGUGCAGCUGGACAUUCUUCUGAGCUAAAAGCAUAUCUAUUUAGUCCCGUCAAACGGAUUAUUACUUUUGCUUCAGCUAAUACAAAGGUCGAAUGAACUACCAACGCUGAUUGCAGGAAAACUCGUUUCUUUAUUGAAACUUGUAAACUCGAUCUCAAAUCAAGUAAGACUACCCGCUGAACUUAA
rnacentral:rRNA from 1 species